rnacentral:rRNA from 1 species
AGAUUGAACGCUGGCGGCAUGCCUAACACAUGCAAGUCGAACGGGAGUAGCAAUACUCUAGUGGCGGACGGGUGAGGAAUACGUAGGAAUUUGCCCUUAAGUGGGGGAUAACCCGGGGAAACCCGGAUUAAUACCGCAUGACCUCGAAAGAGCAAAGUGGGGGAUCGCAAGACCUCACGCUUUUGGAGAAGCCUACGUCGGAUUAGCUAGUUGGUGAGGUAAUGGCUCACCAAGGCGACGAUCCGUAACUGGUCUGAGAGGAUGAUCAGUCACACCGGAACUGAGACACGGUCCGGACUCCUACGGGAGCAGCAGUGGGAAUAUUGGACAAUGGGCGCAAGCCUGAUCCAGCAAUGCCGCGUGUGUGAAGAAGGCCUUCGGUUGUAAAGCAACUUUAAGGUUAGGGAAGAAAAAACGUACGACGUACUAACAACAGUAGAGUCUUACGACGGUACCGACGAAGAAUAAAGACACCGGACUAACUCUAGUCG